UUGGUUGUUGUUGUGGUCCUUGAGUGUGAUUUGUUUUUAAAGCUGCGAGUAACGUGUCGGUCCUCGCUCCUCUCAGGCUCUCUUGGAGGCUUUGCAGAGAGGUCUCAGCGCAUCCAUUUUCUUAAGAUCCUCUCCUCUCGCGACAAGAAUCUGGGGCCCCUGAAGGCGCCUCGGUGCUGGGAAGCGGCGACUGGGCUCUCGGAGGGGUGUGCACAGUGGCCGUGGGAGCUCCCGGGUGGUGGUGGCGGCGGCGGUUCUCCUGGGCUGGACGCGGUGAGGGGAGCAAGCCGAUUUUCCCAGCAAGAUCUCCAUGUACAGCUACAUCUUUAGGGCCGCUCGGGUUAAUAUAUGUCGUCAGAGGCUCCUCACGCCAAUCCCGGGGCGGCGGGGGCGGCGCCUCGCGCUCUCCGCAAUAAAACUUUUUGAUGUUCACGUUGCUAAUUGCCGAGGUCCUCUUCUAGGAUUGGUUGUCCACUCAUAACCAUAAGAUAAUUAAAACGGGGGGGGGGCAGGGUUAAAAAAAAACUUUUUAUCAGCCAUAGGUUAAUGCAAGUGUUUAACAGAUGCUUCACUAUUAAAACACCCCCCCCCCCAAUAUUGAAGAAUCUCAAACCAGCUACCCCAAACACAGACUUUGGAGGUUUUCAAAGUGGGGCACCUCGAUUUCUCGAAUCUGUGGUGUGGCGAGUACCCGUGUUCCGCUGGUUUAACUAGCCUGUUUGAAGGCAUAGCCGAUUCUUCAGCAAGAACAACGAAACCAGCCUUCUUCACCUCCUGGGGGAUUUUCUUUUGCCCUCUACAGCAGAGUGUGACUUCAGACAGAAACUUCAGAUUGGCCAAGGCAGGUCUGUCUGAUUCUAUUCUAAAGACCAAGUUGGAGAUGAGCUGUCAUUGGUGUUGACCGAGUCCAUACAGUCGUGGGAGAGAGUCCUUGUUGCCAAGUCUGAUGACGCCGGAACCUGCAUGAUACAAAGAGAGCUGACUCCAGAAAGUUGCCCUCAGAUCUUCACAUAUCACUGUGGUAUGUGUUGCAGGCACCUAUCCAGUCCUGCACACAAUGUAUUAAAACUAUU